CGGUGGUCAAUCAUGGAUCAGGGAAAGCGAAGGCAGGAGCGUGAGGUGAACUGAAUUUCAGGCUCGGGCGAGGAGUCUCGGGAUGUGGGAGAAACGCUGUGAUUGAUCUCCGUAGUGAUCCCGGAAAUGUGGCUUCAAAAACAGCUGACAGGUAAGCGGGUGAUGGAUCCGGCUGAGGAUACAGGACAACAGGUAAGCAAACAAAAUCCAAGACAUAGGUUGUGUCAUGGUCCGACAGCCCUUGCCUGGCUGCCUGCCCGUGCGUUAUUGUGUGCAUGUUGCGCUCUUCCUUUCUCUCCCAUUUUCUCUCUCUCUCUCUCUCGUAACGGGGUUGUUUACCUCCGAGCGGUGACGAGCAUUCCCGAGAGUGUUCCCGCGCUGAGUCUGACCGCACCUGUUGUUGAUCGGAGCCGACCAGCUGUAACCAAUUAUCCGCCAUCUCCCGGGCUGCCUUCUUAACAGGGCGAUCGAGCUUCAGUCAGCGCUGGAUCAUUGUGUGAAGCACGGAGGGAAACGGAGAGAGAGAUCACGGGAGCUGGACCGCCUUUUGGGAUUUCUGUUUGGAAGGAGUCACUGCGUGUGUUUUCACUUCACGGCCAUGAGCACUGCUAGGAGGAGGAGGAGAAGGAGGAGACCACACCGGGC